ensembl:lncRNA
UAAUUAGGUUAGUUAAUUAGUUUAAAUGUUUUUAUUUAUUAAUUAGGUUAGAAUAAUUAGGUCCAGCAGUCCAGUUCACCUCUGUGACGCGGCAGGAACGUGCUGAGAAGUGACAAUAUGCACCUGGAGAGGUACACGCCCACUAAACACCACUUAGCACCUGGAGAGGUACACGCCCACUAAACACCACUUAGCACCUGGAGUUAUAUACGCCCACUAAACACCACUUAGCACCUGGAGAGGUACACGCCCACUAAACACCACUUAGCACCUGGAGAGGUACACGCCCACUAAACACCACUUAGCACCUGUACACGCCCACUAAACACCACUUAGCACCUGGAGAGGUACACGCCCACUAAACACCACUUAGCACCUGUACACGCCCACUAAACACCACUUAGCACCUGGAGAGGUACACGCCCACUAAACACCACUUAGCACCUGGAGAGGUACACGCCCAC